rnacentral:hammerhead_ribozyme from 1 species
AUCCAGUUGACGAGUCUUAAAUAAGAUGAAACGCGUGUCCUGGAU